UAGGGAAUCUUCGGCAAUGGACGAAAGUCUGACCGAGCAACGCCGCGUGAGUGAAGAAGGUUUUCGGAUCGUAAAACUCUGUUGUUAGAGAAGAACAAGGACGUUAGUAACUGAACGUCCCCUGACGGUAUCUAACCAGAAAGCCACGGCUAACUACGUGCCAGCAGCCGCGGUAAUACGUAGGUGGCAAGCGUUGUCCGGAUUUAUUGGGCGUAAAGCGAGCGCAGGCGGUUUCUUAAGUCUGAUGUGAAAGCCCCCGGCUCAACCGGGGAGGGUCAUUGGAAACUGGGAGACUUGAGUGCAGAAGAGGAGAGUGGAAUUCCAUGUGUAGCGGUGAAAUGCGUAGAUAUAUGGAGGAACACCAGUGGCGAAGGCGGCUAUCUGGUCUGUAACUGACGCUGAGGCUCGAAAGCGGGGGGAGCAAACAGG
rnacentral:rRNA from 1 species